GAAGUGGAUGUCGUCUGGUGGCGGUCCCGGUCUUCAAAGCCGUGUGGGGGGCAAUGAUCUUGUCCUCGGUAGGUUCGAUUCCUACCCCU
rnacentral:tRNA from 1 species